rnacentral:misc_RNA from 1 species
AAAAAAAAGCCUUCUUUCUCAAGUUUGGAAGUUAAAACUUGGGCUUCAAAUUUGCUCUACUUCAAUUUUCCUUUUCCUUUCCUUUCCCACAUUUUCUCAGCAACCAAACGGAAAAAAUAACAAGACCAGGGAAAAAAAAUUUACAAAAUGAAACAAUGAAGGAAAAUCACGAGCACAGUAACUCAAGAAGAAGAAAAAGUAAAGGGCACUCAGUAAUCCAGGAGGAAACUUCGAAACUGUAUUAAAACUAAAACUACACGGACAAAGAAAUUUGAUUCCUG